rnacentral:rRNA from 1 species
AAGCGUUAAUCGGAAUUACUGGGCGUAAAGCGCACGCAGGCGGUUGAUUAAGUUAGAUGUGAAAUCCCCGGGCUUAACCUGGGAAUGGCAUCUAAGACUGGUCAGCUAGAGUCUUGUAGAGGGGGGUAGAAUUCCAUGUGUAGCGGUGAAAUGCGUAGAGAUGUGGAGGAAUACCGGUGGCGAAGGCGGCCCCCUGGACAAAGACUGACGCUCAGGUGCGAAAGCGUGGGGAGCAAACAGG